AAGAACACAUUGCAGGUUACACGAUGCACGGUGUGCUCUACCGACCAUCAUUGUUCCCUAUGCCCCACUUCAGUGUACAAGCCCCGGUGUAGGGCAAAGGUUUUGCAGCACAUGGAGGUGCAUGUAAAAAAUGCCAUUCAACAUGAAGCAGAAUCUGUGAGCCUACCUCAUCUCAGCACUGACAAACUGCCUGUAUCGGUACAUGAUAAUGAAAUGCAAUGACAAAGAGACCCAGCAGAGAGACCCCAACACCCACCGCCAGAAUCCUUUUCAGAAUCAGAAAGGGUUUUAAUCGCCAUGAAGGUUUGCACAGACAAGGAAAUUACUUUGGCAGGAAGGUGCAUACAUUAAACAUAUAGGAAUCUUAAAACUUAAAUAUGUGGUCUAACUAUACAAAAGGAACAAAGUCUAGCUAAUACUAAGGGGAUUUAGAAUACAAAUUAAAUAUAAAGUAACCAUAAUUUACAAUCUAAAAAUACAGAUAGUACAAAAAAUACAAAUAGUACAAAAAAUACAAAUAGUACAAAAGAUACAAAUAGUGGAAAUUGCAAUGUGGCAAGGUGUCAUUGUGCAGAUUGUGAUUAAGUCUUUAAAGUCAGUGUGAGCCCUUGGCCUUGUUGAAGAGGCCAACAGCGGAUGGAAAGAAACUGUUCUUAUGCUAUUCAGUCCUGACCUGGACAACCCUCCCUGCAGAGUGCGCUGUGCAAAGUUGACAAAUGUACUUUGUCCUCAAUGUAAUGUGCAGUUCAAAAUAAAUAUCAAGAAGCACUUUUACAGACAACACACCGAUAAAGCUGUCAGAGACAUCACUGCAAAUUCCCAUCUGGAUGCUGUAUGCAUUGAUUCCUGAGGAGGGAUAACAAGGAUCUGCACACACAAGAAUAA